rnacentral:rRNA from 1 species
GAGGUUAAGCGACUAAGCGUACACGGUGGAUGCCUAGGCAGUCAGAGGCGAUGAAGGGCGUGCUAAUCUGCGAUAAGCGUCGGUAAGCUGAUAUGAAGCGUUAUACCCGACGAUACCCGAAUGGGGAAACCCAGUGUGUUUCGACACACUAUCAUUACGUGAAUACAUAGCGUAAUGAGGCGAACCGGGGGAACUGAAACAUCUCAGUACCCCGAGGAAAAGAAAUCAACCGAGAUUCCCCUAGUAGCGGCGAGCGAACGGGGAGGAGCCCAGAACCUGAAUCAGUUUGUGUGUUAGUGGAAGCGUCUGGAAAGUCGCACAGUAAAGGGUGAUAGUCCCGUACACAAAAAUGCACAGAUUGUGAGUUCGAUGAGUAGGGCGGGACACGUGACAUCCUGUCUGAAUAUGGGGGGACCAUCCUCCAAGGCUAAAUACUCCUGACUGACCGAUAGUGAACCAGUACCGUGAGGGAAAGGCGAAAAGAACCCCGGCGAGGGGAGUGAAAUAGAACCUGAAACCGUGUACGUACAAGCAGUGGGAGCCUUGAUUAAUCAGGGUGACUGCGUACCUUUUGUAUAAUGGGUCAGCGACUUAUAUUCUGUAGCAAGGUUAACCGUAUAGGGGAGCCGUAGGGAAACCGAGUCUUAACUGGGCGUUAAGUUGCAGGGUAUAGACCCGAAACCCGGUGAUCUAGCCAUGGGCAGGUUGAAGGUUGGGUAACACUAACUGGAGGACCGAACCGACUAAUGUUGAAAAAUUAGCGGAUGACUUGUGGCUGGGGGUGAAAGGCCAAUCAAACCGGGAGAUAGCUGGUUCUCCCCGAAAGCUAUUUAGGUAGCGCCUCGUGAAUUCAUCUUCGGGGGUAGAGCACUGUUUCGGCUAGGGGGUCAUCCCGACUUACCAACCCGAUGCAAACUACGAAUACCGAAGAAUGUUAUCACGGGAGACACACGGCGGGUGCUAACGUUCGUCGUGAAGAGGGAAACAACCCAGACCGCCAGCUAAGGUCCCAAAGUCAUGGUUAAGUGGGAAACGAUGUGGGAAGGCACAGACAGCCAGGAUGUUGGCUUAGAAGCAGCCAUCAUUUAAAGAAAGCGUAAUAGCUCACUGGUCGAGUCGGCCUGCGCGGAAGAUGUAACGGGGCUAAACCAUGCACCGAAGCUGCGGCAGCGACACUUAGGUGUUGUUGGGUAGGGGAGCGUUCUGUAAGCCGUCGAAGGUGGCCUGUGAGGGUUGCUGGAGGUAUCAGAAGUGCGAAUGCUGACAUAAGUAACGAUAAUGCGGGUGAAAAACCCGCACGCCGGAAGACCAAGGGUUCCUGUCCAACGUUAAUCGGGGCAGGGUGAGUCGACCCCUAAGGCGAGGCUGAAAAGCGUAGUCGAUGGGAAACAGGUUAAUAUUCCUGUACUCGGUGUUACUGCGAAGGGGGGACGGAGAAAGCUAGGUUAUCCGGGCGACGGUUGUCCCGGUUUAAGCGUGAAGGUGGAUGACUUUGGUAAAUCCGGGUCGUCAUUAACACUGAGGCGUGAUGACGAGUCACUACGGUGAUGAAGUAACCAAUGCUACGCUUCCAGGAAAAGCCUCUAAGCUCCAGGUAACAUCAAAUCGUACCCCAAACCGACACAGGUGGUCAGGUAGAGAAUACUCAGGCGCUUGAGAGAACUCGGGUGAAGGAACUAGGCAAAAUGGUGCCGUAACUUCGGGAGAAGGCACGCUGAUGGUAGGUGAAGUGACUUGCUCACGGAGCUGAAAUCAGUCGAAGAUACCAGCUGGCUGCAACUGUUUAAUAAAAACACAGCACUGUGCAAACACGAAAGUGGACGUAUACGGUGUGACGCCUGCCCGGUGCCGGAAGGUUAAUUGAUGGGGUCAGCCGCAAGGCGAAGCUCUUGAUCGAAGCCCCGGUAAACGGCGGCCGUAACUAUAACGGUCCUAAGGUAGCGAAAUUCCUUGUCGGGUAAGUUCCGACCUGCACGAAUGGCGUAAUGAUGGCCAGGCUGUCUCCACCCGAGACUCAGUGAAAUUGAACUCGCUGUGAAGAUGCAGUGUACCCGCGGCAAGACGGAAAGACCCCGUGAACCUUUACUAUAGCUUGACACUGAACCUUGAGCCUUGAUGUGUAGGAUAGGUGGGAGGCUUUGAAGCGUGGACGCCAGUCUGCGUGGAGCCAACCUUGAAAUACCACCCUUUAAUGUUUGAUGUUCUAACGUGGGCCCGUGAUCCGGGUUGCGGACAGUGUCUGGUGGGUAGUUUGACUGGGGCGGUCUCCUCCCAAAGCGUAACGGAGGAGCACGAAGGUUAGCUAAUCCUGGUCGGACAUCAGGAGGUUAGUGCAAAGGCAUAAGCUAGCUUGACUGCGAGAGUGACAGCUCGAGCAGGUGCGAAAGCAGGUCUUAGUGAUCCGGUGGUUCUGAAUGGAAGGGCCAUCGCUCAACGGAUAAAAGGUACUCCGGGGAUAACAGGCUGAUACCGCCCAAGAGUUCAUAUCGACGGCGGUGUUUGGCACCUCGAUGUCGGCUCAUCACAUCCUGGGGCUGAAGUAGGUCCCAAGGGUAUGGCUGUUCGCCAUUUAAAGUGGUACGCGAGCUGGGUUUAGAACGUCGUGAGACAGUUCGGUCCCUAUCUGCCGUGGGCGUUGGAAGAUUGAGAGGGGUUGCUCCUAGUACGAGAGGACCGGAGUGAACGCACCACUGGUGUUCGGGUUGUGAUGCCAAUUGCAUUGCCCGGUAGCUAAGUGCGGAAGAGAUAACCGCUGAAAGCAUCUAAGCGGGAAACUUGCCUCGAGAUGAGUCUUCCCUGGGCACUAGAUGCCCCUGAAGGGCCGUUGAAGACUACGACGUAGAUAGGCUGGGUGUGUAAGCGUAGCGAUACGUUGAGCUAACCAGUACUAAUGACCCGAGAGGCUUAACCUUA